AACCCCCACACCUCCUGCCCAACUCACGAGGCUAUCGUGAGAUCACAGGGACACUCUGUGAGAUCUACAGGACACCGUGGUGACCAGAGGCAUUAUGUGGCAGGGAGGGUGUUUCCAGAAAGUGAGAUUUUUUUCAAUAUGCAAUUUAUUAAAAGUAUUUAAAAUGAACAUCCGACAGGAGGACACUUUUAUGUGAAAUUUUAUUUCUGUUUGCCUUGUGUGGUGAGUUGCUGGAGAAGACAGAAGGCAUGCUAGAAUUAGUCAAACCCUUAGAAGAUGGAUCUAAAUCAAGACACAAGUAAGGCAUGAUGUGAAGUCCAUCACAAACAGAGCUGGAUGGAGGACCUUAUCUAGCCUUUUGGCGUAUUUUACAAGCUAUUAACCCAAUGAAUACAUUGGGACAUUACUCAAUGUCUAACUUAAGACACAAAAAAUAAACGUGAAAUCAAAUUGCACUGGUAGAAAACAUGAA